UACGAAGGGGGCUAGCGUUACUCGGAUUGACUGGGCGUAAAGGGCGCGUAGGCGGCUUGUACAGUCAGACGUGAAAUUCCUGGGCUCAACCUGGGGGCUGCGUUUGAUACGUGCGGGCUUGAGUUCGGAAGAGGGUCGUGGAAUUCCCAGUGUAGAGGUGAAAUUCGUAGAUAUUGGGAAGAACACCGGUGGCGAAGGCGGCUCACUGGCCCGGUACUGACGCUGAGGUGCGAAAGCGUGGGGGAGCAAACAGG
rnacentral:rRNA from 1 species